GAUGAACGCUGGCGGCGUGCUUAACACAUGCAAGUCGAACGGUGAAGCAGAGCUUGCUCUGUGGAUCUGUGGCGAACGGGUGAGUAACACGUGAGCAACCUGCCCCUGACUCUGGGAUAAGCGCUGGAAACGGCGUCUAAUACUGGAUAUGAGCUGCGACCGCAUGGUCAGCAGUUGGAAAGAUUUUUCGGUCUGGGAUGGGCUCACGGCCUAUCAGCUUGUUGGUGAGGUAAUGGCUCACCAAGGCGUCGACGGGUAGCCGGCCUGAGAGGGUGACCGGCCACACUGGGACUGAGACACGGCCCAGACUCCUACGGGAGGCAGCAGUGGGGAAUAUUGCACAAUGGGCGAAAGCCUGAUGCAGCAACGCCGCGUGAGGGAUGACGGCCUUCGGGUUGUAAACCUCUUUUAGCAGGGAAGAAGCGAAAGUGACGGUACCUGCAGAAAAAGCGCCGGCUAACUACGUG
rnacentral:rRNA from 1 species